rnacentral:rRNA from 1 species
GCCCGUGUCGUGAGAUGUUGGGUUAAGUCCCGUAACGAGCGCAACCCUUGUCCUUAGUUACCAGCACGUUAUGGUGGGCACUCUAAGGAGACUGCCGGUGACAAACCGGAGGAAGGUGGGGAUGACGUCAAGUCAUCAUGGCCCUUACGGCCUGGGCUACACACGUGCUACAAUGGUCGGUACAAAGGGUUGCCAAGCCGCGAGGUGGAGCUAAUCCCAUAAAACCGAUCGUAGUCCGGAUCGCAGUCUGCAACUCGACUGCGUGAAGUCGGAAUCGCUAGUAAUCGUGAAUCAGAAUGUCACGGUGAAUACGUUCCCGGGCCUU